rnacentral:rRNA from 1 species
AUGAUUCCUCUUUUUGAUCAGGAAAUUUGGGAUGUUGUUAAAACUGCCAAUUCCAAUGCUCCUUCUGGGCCAGACGGCUUCUCCAUUCCUUUUUUUCGGAAAUUUUGGCCCCAGUUGAAACAGCUGGUUUGUAAUGUUAUCCAGGGUUUUUGUCUUGGCACUGUCGAUAUCUCCCGCCUGAACUACGCAGUGAUAUCCCUGAUCCUCAAGGUUAAGGGUGCUGAUGUUAUUUCCCAAUUUCGGCCUAUUGCUUUGAUUAACAACUUUGCCAAAUUCCCAGCUAAAGGCUUUGCGAAUCGUUUGUCGCUGGUUGCUCAUAGAGUUAUUAGUCCUUAUCAAUCUGCUUUCAUCAAAGGGCGUUUCAUCCUCGAUGGUAUCCUAUCCCUUCACGAGAUUGUUCACGAUCUUCACGCUCGUAGAGCUAAAGCGAUUAUCCUUAAGUUAGAUUUUGAGAAAGCUUAUGACUCGGUUAGCUGGCCCUUCCUCAAGCAGGUCCUU